rnacentral:lncRNA from 1 species
GUGUCAGAAACCUAUGCUGUGUCAACUAUUUAAUUUUAGAUUUAAAUAAGUUUGAAGAAGAAAUCUUUAAUUGAUUUGUAAAAUCUUGACAUUUGUUUUGUGUAAAAAACCCAUAUAAUGUCAAAAAUUUGAUCACAAUCCAAAUUCAGAGCUGUAUCACGCUUAAAUGUUUUGUCCAUACCUGCCCCAACUGUUCAGGGAUCGACCUCUGCGGUCGUAUAAAGCUGCGCCCUGCGGAGCACCUGGUUGACUAUUGUGUCUGUUUGUUUUGUUCAAGCAUCGGUGACAAUAUAAUGGAAUGUGAUACGACUGUCAUACAAGUGAGAGGUUUAGCUAGCUAUAAAACCAGGUUCAAUCCACCAUUUUCUACAUUUGAAAAUGCCUGUACCAAGUCAGGAAUAUGACAGUUCUUGUCCAUUCGUUUUUGAUGCGUUUUGUUAUUUGAUUUUGCCAUGUGAUUAUGGACUUUCCGAAUUGAUUUUCCUCUGAGUUCAGUAUUUUUGUGAUUUUACUUUUUUUUCAU